UCGGGUGUGGUGUAUGGCGCACACUUGCGCUUUAUGUCAACGGAGAGAUGUUCUGCCAAAGCAAGCCGACGGGGUUCGAUUCCCCGCACCCGAA